AAAAAAAAAAAAAACUAGAAAAGAAAAAAAAAAUAAAAAAUAGAAAGUCCUUGAAAUUUGGAAUUUGGCAGCAGUAUUUUUUUCUUAAGAUACAACAUUAAAUAAAUUUGGCAAAGUUGGUUUUCCAUUGUAAAUAAUUCAUACAAACACAAAACAGAUAUUAGAGAAUGUAUAUGCAUUUUAGGCACAAAACAAGAACAAAAGACAAUAAACAAUAAACAACAUAUAACAGUAUAUUAUAUAAAAACAUAUAUGUUGGUGUGAGAAGGCUAAAAUAAAAAUGCACAAUAACAUUACAUAGGGUAAUGCUAAUUAAGUUGCUUAAGUGUAAAUUAUUCUAAUAAUGGAAGCCAGGGGUCCCAGUAGAGGUUGGCAAUGUGAAGAGGCUUUGUUUUUAAAAAAUAUAUUCUUUUCUAGUAUUAGAUUUUCUUUUAGAUAGUUUUUCAGCCCUGCAAAAUUUACUUGAUUUUCACACAGUUUUGUUCUAUAGAUAAAGAAUUUUGAUAAAAGUAUUAUUAAGUUUUUAUUUUUAUUAUUUUCUGUUUUUCCUAAAUUUCCGAAUAAAAUUAUAUCCAUGUUAAAUGGAAUAAUUAUUUGUGUUUGGUUAUAAAUCCAGUCCAUGAGUCUUAUCCACAGAUCUGCUAUUUUAUGGCAUGUCCAAAAUAUGUGUUCAAUAUCUUCAGUAACUUCACUGCAGAAAGUACAUUUAUCGCUUUGUUUUAUUUUUAUCUUAAAUAAAAAUUUAUUUGUGCCCAAUAUUCUGUGUAUUAUUCUAUAUUGGAACCAGUGGAGUUUUGAGCUUUUUGUGGAGUAAAAAGACAUAUUAUGCACAGUUUUCCAAUCAAAAUUUUUGUUGAGUGUUAAGGACCAUUUUUCUUCACAUCUAAGUUUAGUACUGCUUUUUUCAAAUAAAACAUUAUACAUAUCUUUCGAGCCUUUUCUUGAUAAAAAAAAUAUUCUUAUAUU
rnacentral:lncRNA from 1 species